AUACGGAGGGUGCAAGCGUUAAUCGGAAUUACUGGGCGUAAAGAGUACGUAGGUGGUUUGUUAAGUCAGUUGUGAAAGCCCCGGGCUCAACCUGGGAACUGCAUUUGAAACUGGCAAACUAGAGUAUGGUAGAGGGGGGUAGAAUUUCUAGUGUAGCGGUGAAAUGCGUAGAUAUUAGAAGGAAUACCAGUGGCGAAGGCGGCCCCCUGGACCAAUACUGACACUGAGGUACGAAAGCGUGGGUAGCGAACAGGAUUAGAAACCCUUGUAGUCC
rnacentral:rRNA from 1 species